rnacentral:rRNA from 1 species
GAUGAACGCUGGCGGCGUGCCUAAUACAUGCAAGUAGAACGCUGAAGGAGGAGCUUGCUCUUCUGGAUGAGUUGCGAACGGGUGAGUAACGCGUAGGUAACCUGCCUGGUAGCGGGGGAUAACUAUUGGAAACGAUAGCUAAUACCGCAUGACAACAGUUAUUGCAUGAUAACUGUUUAAAAGGGGCAACUGCUCCACUACCAGAUGGACCUGCGUUGUAUUAGCUAGUUGGUGAGGUAACGGCUCACCAAGGCGACGAUACAUAGCCGACCGGAGAGGGGGAUCGGCCAGCCUGGGACUGAGACACGGCCCAGACUCCUACGGGAGGCAGCAGUAGGGAAUCUUCGGCAAUGGACGGAAGUCUGACCGAGCAACGCCGCGUGAGGGAAGAAGGUUUUCGGAUCGUAAAGCUCUGUUGUAAGAGAAGAACGAGUGUGAGAGUGGAAAGUUCACACUGUGACGGUAUCUUACCAGAAAGAGACGGCUAACUACGUG